GCCCGGGUAGCUCAGUUGGCCAGAGCACGCCCCUCGUAAGGGCGGGGUCGCGGGUUCGAAUCCCGCCCCGGGCU
rnacentral:tRNA from 1 species